ACUUUGGUAGCUCAGGAGUCAGAGCGUAGGUCUCAUGAGCCUAAGGUCGCGUGUGCGAAUCAAGUCCAAAGUA